GCCUGGGUGGCUCAGUUGGUUAAGCGUCUGAUUUCGGCUCAGGUAGUGAUCUCAUAGUUUGUGAGUUCAAGCCCCACGUUGGGCU
rnacentral:tRNA from 1 species